GACAGAGGGUGCAAACGUUGUUCGGAAUUACUGGGCGUAAAGCGAGCGUAGUCGGUUAUUUAAGUCGGGUGUGAAAGCCCCGGGCUCAACCUGGGAAUUGCAUUCGAUACUGGAUAGCUAGAGUUCGGCAGAGGGAAGCGGAAUUUCCGGUGUAGCGGUGAAAUGCGUAGAUAUCGGAAGGAACAUCAGUGGCGAAAGCGGCUUCCUGGACCAGAACUGACGAUCAGGUUCGAAAGCGUGGGGAGCAAACAGG
rnacentral:rRNA from 1 species